rnacentral:misc_RNA from 1 species
AAAGUCGUAACAAGGUUUCCGUAGGUGAACCUGCGGAAGGAUCAUUAAUGAAUAUCUAUGGCGUAGGUUGUAGCUGGCUUUUAGGAGCAUGUGCACACCCGUCAUUUUUAUCUUUCCACCUGUGCACCCAAUGUAGGUCUGGAUAACUCUCGCUCUAGAGCGGAUGCAAGGAUUGCCAUGUCGAAAGACUGGCUUUCUUUGAAUUUCCAGAUCUAUGUAUUUUACAAACCCCAAUUGAAUGACAAAGAAUGUAGUCAAUGGGCUUUUAUGCCUAUAAAACAAAAUACAACUUUCAGCAACGGAUCUCUUGGCUCUC